rnacentral:rRNA from 1 species
AUGGACUUUGCGACACUGCAGGAGGUCCUACCAUGCAUCGAUAAUGACAUAAACCAUGAGCAACUAACAAAGGUACUUCUAUACAAAGCUUAUCCAGGAUGCCAGCAAAGUCCUAUUGCAACCGAUGCGGCAAACCAUUGGCAAUUUGCCGAGCGGGCUUACGAGUUAAAACUUCUAAAAGUGGUUGCAUUUGAUCAACCUUCCUCACAGGUUAUGGUUUACUUGGAUCUAAAGCGUGAGGAGUGCUCCAGACUCUUCCCGUCAGGAUGGAUAUUCUCGCACUCAUUCUUUCUUGCAGGGCAGGAAUUCCGUGUUGUGGCAGGUCGUGUGCUGGGUGAGGAAAGUAACUUUUAUAGCUUUGGCCUCUACCACUAG